UUAAACUAUAGUUGCGUCGAAACUAAAUGAAAAAAAAAAAACAAUUUUGAAUAAAAUAACAGUUUUGUUAACCAGAAUAGAAGCUAAGAGAGAGGCUAUAAUCCAAGAGUACCUGAAGAGACUGGAGGUCAACCCCAUACUCAUCAAGAAAAUCAUUAAGAGGUACGAGGAGACUCAAUCUAUCAAGGACAUACCCAGAUCAGGCAGACCAAGUUCAAAAACAACCCCAGGAGUCGUUAAGGGAAGGAUUGCAGAAAAUCCCAGAAGGAACCUCACUAAGAUGGGUGUAACAACAAUGAGAUAACCUUGGGAAUUAUCCAUACAAAUUGGAGAGGCAACAUCACCUGUCAAGCUGAGGACUGGCAACAUUGUGUUCAGUGUUGAGAAGAUUUUCGCAAUUUUAACCCCCUAAAUGAUCAGAUUCUGGCCAAAAAGGUGAGCUGGGUGACCAUGGAGUCAACAAAGUGCAGAAGCCACAGUCUGUGAUGGUUAUGGCACUUUGACUGAGACAGGGAUGUCCCCCUUGGUGUUUUCGCCGGACAAGGUGAAGUAUAUCAGCUUCAUCCUGGAGGAACAUCUUGUUCUCGGGGCCCAACAGCACUUUCAGAAUAGACCAUAGACUUUCCAACAGGAUGGUGUCCCCUCCCACACAUCCAAAACAUCCAAAGAGACGCAGCGGUGCUGUGAGGGCAAUUUCAAUGGUUUCAAAGACAAUACAGUCUGGCCCCCUUCCAGCCCCGAUCUAAACGUCAUGGAUUACUCCAAGUGGUCCAUUCUUGAGAACAGAGCCUUUGUGACCACCAGCAAAAAAAAAAAAAAAAAAUGGAUGACCUGUAGGCUAAACUGGUGGCUGCCUGGACUCCAUCUCCGUGGAAAUGGUGCGUACAGCAUGAAAGUCCUUUCCAGAGAGACUUUGGGCUGUGGUCAAGGCUAAGGGUGACCAUUUCGAAUGAAAGUUAUGUCACAUGUUUAUGAAAAUUUUGUCGACCUAUAUCUAAAAUUAUAUGCAAAAUAUGUAAUAUGUUAUAUCAUUAGGGCUUUAAUAAACAUUUGACAUAGCU
rnacentral:lncRNA from 1 species